rnacentral:rRNA from 1 species
UACGUAGGUGGCAAGCGUUGUCCGGAAUUACUGGGCGUAAAGGGCUCGUAGGCGGCCAACUAAGUCAGACGUGAAAUCCCUCGGCUUAACCGGGGAACUGCGUCUGAUACUGGAUGGCUUGAGAUUGGGAGAGGGAUGCGGAAUUCCAGGUGUAGCGGUGAAAUGCGUAGAUAUCUGGAGGAACACCGGUGGCGAAGGCGACAUCCUGGACCAACACUGACGCUGAGGAGCGAAAGCCAGGGGAGCAAACGGG